rnacentral:tRNA from 1 species
GCCCGUGUAGCUCAGCGGUAGAGCGCACCCUUGGUAAGGGUGAGGUCACGAGUUCAAUUCUCGUCAUGGGCU